UGGUGUUGCUCCGUGGAGGUACUACUCUUUAUCCUCUUGGCAUUACGUACGGAGAUUGUGUCAAUCGCGGUGGUUGUUAUGAUGACGGCGAGGAAGAUCGCGGUGCUGAUGAUAGUGAAUACGACGAUUCCUAUGAUCUAGAGGAGGAGCUGGUGCCGCGGAACGUGUGUAAGAAGCUGGGGAGACAGAGGAUGAGGAAACUGGGAAAGAGAGCAGUCGCGAAGGCCUUUACCUCAAAGACGUUUCCGUAUUCUUACUUGAAACAUGGUUGCGUUCGCGGUAAGCAUGGUCUCGGCAUGA
rnacentral:lncRNA from 1 species